UUUGAUUGUCCAUUUGGUACACAAUUGUCAAGUUACUUUCUGUUAUGGCUUUUCCCAAUCCUUAGAUAAUACCCAUUAUGAGUGUGCUCACACUAUAGUGAAGGCCAGCUCCCAUUCCAACAUCAAAUUUUCUUCAAGAACAUAUGUAGUGUUUUGUACACUUGUACAGUUUGCAAUCUUGCUGUAUAUUGUUUGUUAUAACUAUAGUGAUGCUUGGCCUUCUUCUUUGUAGGAAGCUUGCAGACAAAAUUGCAGCUGCUGGCUUCUUUGCCGUGGUCCCUGACUUCUUUUAUGGAGACCCUUAUGUACCUGCAGCUGAUGGAUCCCUUGACUCUCUACCUGCUUGGCUGAAAGGACAUGGAGCGGUAUAGUUCUUCUAUUUUGAUAUGGAUGUAUAAGUUAGUAUCUUCAGAAUUUCAGUGAUGUCACAAGUAUUGCUGUGGGAUUAUCAAAAAUUUACAUAGAAGUUUCAGAUACAUAUUGGUGGUCUCAUGUUGGGCUGUUUGAAGUUGAUGUUUGUGAACUAACUAGUUAGCCCCAUUAUUGUUUUUGUUAAGUUCUUAGCUGCCGGGUUGUUUCUGCCAAUUGUGACAAUGGGUUAAAAUUUGAGGACUUGGUAAUUGUGGUGUAUUAAAAUUGAGAUCUGAUGCAGUCGUGAACUUCGGUUAUAAUUGAUUAGCUUUCAAACCUUGUUAUGUAUUUGUAGGACAAAGGAUUUGAAGAUGUCAAAGUAGUUAUUGAAGCUCUAAAAAGUAAAGGUGUUUGUGCAAUCGGUGCUGUAGGCUUCUGUUGGGGAGGUGAGUUUACAAUUUCUUUUCAGAUAAGGUGGGAUGUACUGGUCGGUUUUGGAUUAAACAAAUUGUUCUCAUAUCUUAGACUAGAUUUUUAGGGGCUUCUCUUUUAGACAGUAUUGUACUUCACAAUCUCAAUUCUGUAGUUUCACCAAUAUGGUAUAUAAUAUUUCAGUUUCAUUGGAUUGUUUUGUCCUGUUCUCAGCCAAGGUUGUAGUUGAACUUGCAAAGGGUGACUUUAUCCAAGCUGCUGUUCUGGCUCAUCCUUCAUUUGUCACUCUUGAUGAUAUCAAGGGUAAGAGUUCCCUAUUCAAUAAUCAGUAUAAUAUUUCAUCAUAGAGGAAGAGAAGAGAUGUGCUGUUCCCAAUCGUGUAAAAGAAAGGUUUAAAGAUGUUUAAUUUAUUCCUGAAACUAUUUUCAGCUGUUAAGGUUCCCAUAUCUAUACUCGGAGCUGAGAUUGAUCGGAUGUCUCCACCUGAACUCGUGAAACAAUUUGAAGAGGCUUUGACCGCAAAGUCUGAGGUAAGAAACUCCUGUCAUCAAAAUUAUAAUACCAUGACCUGAUUGGAAAGAGGCACUGCUGUGGUAUCUGGUAGUUACUACAGUUCUAGGGUUUGAAAUGACUGUUGGUCUAUGGAAUCACAGAUAAAAAGUCAUGUGAAGAUAUUCCCAAAAGUGUCGCAUGGAUGGACUGUGAGGUAUGAUGUUUCAGACAAAGAAGCUGUGAAGCCUGCUGAGGAGGCUCAUAAAGACAUGUUGGACUGGUUUGUGAACCAUGUCAAGUGAAUGGUAUCAUCAUUGUAGUGUUAUAUUGUCACCUAAGAUGAGAACAGUGUGGAUCUUAUGGUUAAAUAAGGGCUACUUUUAAUGUAGCAAUGUUGUUUGUAAAUUUGUUCCUUGGCUUUACUGCAAUGCUUGAACUCCAGUAUAUUUUUCUGUCCUUUAAGAUGAGAAUAGUGUGGUAGCUUAAUAGCUUAUAUAUGUUUUGAAAAUGGUGGUGCUGAUGAAGUAGUAGCUGCUACAUCCAUGAGAUGAAGUUAUUAGGAAAGGUUACAAUGCAGAUUAUGUUCCGCUGGAUUAAAUGGGUUUCUAUAGACUUGGCCGUUGAAAACUCAUAUGAGAUUCCAUUAUUGCGAACUUACAAUAUUAGCAUGUUUCUGAAUUCUGUUCUUUGGAGAAAUGCAUUAUUUGAAUAUCAGUAUCUUUUAUAUCAUUUAAGUUCAGAAAUUCCAGUGAAGCUAAUUUUUCUUUUAUGGUAGAUUGUAGAAUUCUGUUAUAUAUCACUUAUACUUGUAGGCUCCAACUUCUGCUAAGAUAGCGUCAUCGAAAAAAAUCCUGGUAAGAUAGAGUAAAUAUAUUGUUUCUAAUGGGUUUGACAUUAUAUGCUUAGUUUCUUGUACAGCAAAAGAAUCCAAAAUGAUCCACAUCAAGUGAUAAUGAAAUUUGAUCCUUAUAAAUUAUAUCUAGCUCAGAUGAUACUGGUUCGUGAACAUGUCAAACAUGCAGUAUCAUAUUACACGAUGAACAUCUUAAACUCCUUAUAAAAAUAGAGAGAGAACAAAAAAUUAGACUUGUCGGCAGAAGUCUGCCAUGACGUCUGAGGUGAUGCACAUACAUAUGGACUAAAGUGUACUCUGACCAAAAUAGAAUUCCCAAAUGCUGCUGGAAUGUGUAUACUUUUCCAACAUUACUGCAGGUCAAACCUUUGGUUUCUCCUAUAAACAGAGAAAGAGAGUUCUGUGUUAGCUCACUUUGUGAUUCAGACAAAUAGAAAGAAUGUCAGGCCCUGCGUGCUGCUCAAACCCUCCAGCCCUAAAUCCAGCAAGUGGUUCCGGCCAUGUCGAAAAGCUUGCUGGUCUGGACUCCUAUGUCACUGGCUCUCCUGACUCCAAGCUUGCCAUUCUUCUCAUUGCUGACAUUUUUGGUACUCACAUAACACAUCAAAUCUCUCUUCUUUCCUUUUGUUUUGGAAUUUUGCAUAGUUUGUUCAUUAUAUGAUCUGGGUUGCUUUCCUUGUGUGUAUUUGAUUGGUGUUAGUUGUUUUGGUCUAAAGGGUACUGGCCCUAAAGAUUGAUGGGUUCUCUGUGUAGGUUUGAUUGACUUCUACUUGACUUGUUAGCUGAAAUCAGCUUUUGACAUUGUCCCUUUUGCUUUGCCAUGCAGGUUAUGAAGCUCCACUCUUGAGGUAUAUCGACCUUCCCAUAUCUGUUUUUGUACAGUGAAUUUCUUUGUUUGUUUAGUGUGAUAGAUGACAUAUCUGAAUUGGUUUUUCUUGAAUUUGAACCUUUGCUCAUGGUUGUACACUUACCAAAUUUGUACAAUUGCUCAUUACAGUUAUACACUUGAAUACUUACAACCAUUACUCCAUCAGUUUCGGAUUGUUUAACCGAUGUAGCAACUCUCAAUAAAGUUCCCUACUUGUAUACUGUUAAGAGUGUAAUAUGUAAUCUUGUGUUUCCAAGAUUAGCAUUAAAUUUGUUGUCUGCCACGCUAACUAGAGUCCUCUAGAAUUCUCUUUGUAUUGGGACUCUACAAGUCUCUAGAAUCCUAUCCUAGUAUAAAUAAGUUGUCUGUAGCUUUACUGAAGCAGUUGAGUGAAAACCAAAAACCAAGCUCUUUGUAAUUUGCAGGAGCAGCAGCUCUGCAAAACUAAUUGUAAUCUCCCUUCGCUUAAAGCAAUUUUCAGUCACCAAAUUUGUCAUUAGCUAACUAAGCUUCCGCUCUACCCCCAACAAACUACUAAAUUUGAACCUUUGCUCAUGGUUGUACACUUACUAAAUUUGUACAAUUGCUCAUUACAGUUAUACACUUGAAUACUUGCAACCAUUACUCCAUUAGUUUCGGAUUGUUUAACCGAAGUAGCAACUCUCAAUAAAGUUCCCUACUUGUAUACUGAGCUAUUCUUAUGAAAAGCACCACCUGUUUUAGCCUAAAAUUUUUUAUGAGAAAUAAUGAGAAUAGUUCAUCCUUCUAUCUCUUAAACAUUAUAGACUAGUUCAUCUUGGACAUCAGUCAAUUGGGUUUACUCUGAACAUCCUUCUAGCUCUGAACAUCAGAAAUUUUAUUUUCUCAUUUAAAAUAACAUUGUGAAAUGUGUUAUUCAACUGUAAUAAUAUGUGGUUUGCGUGUCGAUCUCCAUGUACAGUCAUAUAUACCCUUUAACUAAUGCCACCUGCCUGCCUUCUGUCUGAAGGAAGCUCGCAGAUAAAAUUGCAGCUGUCGGGUACUUUGUUGUGGUACCUGACUUCUUUUAUGGAG
rnacentral:lncRNA from 1 species